rnacentral:rRNA from 1 species
GCAAGUCGUACGGAAACGAUGGGAGCUUGCUCCCAGGCGUCGAGUGGCGGACGGGUGAGUAAUACUUAGGAAUCUGCCCCUUAGUGGGGGACAACUAGAAGAAAUUCUUGCUAAUACCGCAUACGCCCUAUGGGGGCAAGAGGGGGACCUUCGGACCUCGCGCUAAUGGAUGAGCCUAAGUCGGAUUAGCUUGUUGGUGAGGUAAUGGCUCACCAAGGCGACGAUCCGUAGCUGGUCUGAGAGGACGAUC